rnacentral:rRNA from 1 species
AUGAACGCUGGCGGCGUGCCUCAUACAUGCAAGUCGAGCGAACAGACGAGGAGCUUGCUCCUCUGACGUUAGCGGCGGACGGGUGAGUAACACGUGGAUAACCUACCUAUAAGACUGGGAUAACUUCUGGAAACCGGAGCUAAUACCGGAUAAUAUAUUGAACCGCAUGGUUCAAUAGUGAAAGACGGUUUUGCUGUCACUUAUAGAUGGAUCCGCGCCGCAUUAGCUAGUUGGUAAGGUAACGGCUUACCAAGGCGACGAUGCGUAGCCGACCUGAGAGGGUGAUCGGCCACACUGGAACUGAGACACGGUCCAGACUCCUACGGGAGGCAGCAGUAGGGAAUCUUCCGCAAUGGGCGAAAGCCUGACGGAGCAACGCCGCGUGAGUGAUGAAGGUCUUCGGAUCGUAAAACUCUGUUAUUAGGGAAGAACAAAUGUGUAAGUAACUAUGCACGUCUUGGCGGUACCUAAUCAGAAAGCCACGGCUAACUACGUG